GACGAACGCUGGCGGCGUGCUUAACACAUGCAAGUCGAACGGAAAGGCCCUGCUUGCAGGGUACUCGAGUGGCGAACGGGUGAGUAACACGUGGGUGAUCUGCCCUGCACUUCGGGAUAAGCCUGGGAAACUGGGUCUAAUACCGGAUAGGAGCCAUUUUUAGUGUGAUGGUUGGAAAGUUUUUUCGGUGUAGGAUGAGCUCGCGGCCUAUCAGCUUGUUGGUGGGGUAAUGGCCUACCAAGGCGGCGACGGGUAGCCGGCCUGAGAGGGUGGACGGCCACAUUGGGACUGAGAUACGGCCCAGACUCCUACGGGAGGCAGCAGUGGGGAAUAUUGCACAAUGGGCGCAAGCCUGAUGCAGCGACGCCGCGUGGGGGAUGACGGCCUUCGGGUUGUAAACUCCUUUCGCUAGGGACGAAGCUUUUUGUGACGGUACCUAGAUAAGAAGCACCGGCUAACUACGUGCCAGCAGCCGCGGUAAUACGUAGGGUGCGAGCGUUGUCCGGAAUUACUGGGCGUAAAGGGCUCGUAGGUGGUUUGUCGCGUCGUCUGUGAAAUUCCGGGGCUUAACUCCGGGCGUGCAGGCAAUACGGGCAUAACUUGAGUACUGUAGGGGUAACUGGAAUUCCUGGUGUAGCGGUAAAAUGCGCAGAUUUCAGGAGGAACACCGAUGGCGCAGGCAGGUUACUGGGCAGUUACUGACGCUGAGGAGCGAAAGCAUGGGUAGCGAACAGGAUUCCCUACCCUGGUAGUCCAUGCCGUAAACG
rnacentral:rRNA from 1 species